rnacentral:pre_miRNA from 2 species
CAGUUAUCACAGUGCUGAUGCUGUCCCCAUCGAAGGUACAGUACUGUGAUAACUGAA